rnacentral:sRNA from 1 species
GAGAUGUUGAACACGUUCUUUGUACCUAC